UUUUUUUUCUCUAUCGUCCAUUGCAUGUUGGGGACCAUUUACUUAUAGGCCAAAAAAAACAUAGAUGAAGGGACAACACCAUGCUGCUCUUGCAGCCGUGCAGCGGUGGGCAGAAGGCCACCAUUGGUGCCUCCUUAUGAGGCACAUUCAUUGGCGCCUCUCUAUGAGGCACAUUCAUUGGCGCCAACUUGAUAGGCACCACUCGACCCAACCUGAC
rnacentral:lncRNA from 1 species